rnacentral:rRNA from 1 species
GCUGGAGGCCUUAGCGCGGUGGUCCCACCUGACCCCAUGCCGAACUCAGAAGUGAAACGCCGUAGCGCCGAUGGUAGUGUGGGGUCUCCCCAUGCGAGAGUAGGGAACUGCCAGGC